GGCAGUUCUCGGGUGACGCACCCCCAGAAUCAGGCUUCCUCCUCUCUGGUUCCGGUGUCUCACGCUAGAACCACA
rfam:Myotis brandtii contig153636, whole genome shotgun sequence.